rnacentral:rRNA from 1 species
CCUACGGGCGGCUGCAGUGGGGAAUAUUGCACAAUGGGCGCAAGCCUGAUGCAGCCAUGCCGCGUGUGUGAAGAAGGCCUUCGGGUUGUAAAGCACUUUCAGCGGGGAGGAAGGCGGUGAGGUUAAUAACCUCAUCGAUUGACGUUACCCGCAGAAGAAGCACCGGCUAACUCCGUGCCAGCAGCCGCGGUAAUACGGAGGGUGCAAGCGGUAAUCGGAAUUACUGGGCGUAAAGCGCACGCAGGCGGUCUGUCAAGUCGGAUGUGAAAUCCCCGGGCUCAACCUGGGAACUGCAUUCGAAACUGGCAGGCUAGAGUCUUGUAGAGGGGGGUAGAAUUCCAGGUGUAGCGGUGAAGUGCGUAGAGAUCUGGAGGAAUACCGGUGGCGAAGGCGGCCCCCUGGACAAAGACUGACGCUCAGGUGCGAAAGCGUGGGGAGCAAACAGGAUUAGAUACCCGGGUAGUC